rnacentral:tRNA from 1 species
AUUAUUUUGGCAGAAUUAAUGUGAUGAAUUUAGAAUUCGUUUAUAUAUAAAAUAUUAUAUAAAUAAUA